rnacentral:rRNA from 1 species
GCUCAAAUUUAAAAUCUGGUGGUCUUUGGCCAUCCGAGUUGUAAUUUAGAGAAGCGUCUUCCGCGCUGGACCAUGCACAAGUCUCCUGGAAUGGAGCGUCAUAGAGGGUGAGAAUCCCGUCUUUGGCAUGGACCCCCAGUGCUUCUGUGAUGCGCUCUCAAAGAGUCGAGUUGUUUGGGAAUGCAGCUCAAAAUGGGUGGUGAACUCCAUCUAAAGCUAAAUAUUGGCGAGAGACCGAUAGCGAACAAGUACCGUGAGGGAAAGAUGAAAAGCACUUUGGAAAGAGAGUGAAACAGUACGUGAAAUUGUUGAAAGGGAAACGCUUGAAGUCAGUCGCGUCGACCGAGACUCAGCCUUGCCUUGGCUUGGUGUACUUCUCGGCUGACGGGUCAGCAUCAAUUUUGAUCCUUGGAUAAUGGCAAGGGAAAGGUAGCACCUUUACAGGUGUGUUAUAGUCCUCUGUCGGAUGCAAGGGUUGGGAUUGAGGAACUCAGCACGCACCUUGUCGGUGUCGGGGCCUCGGCCUACGUUACGUGCUUAGGAUGCUGGCAUAAUGGCUUUAAACGACCCGUCUUAA